UACGAAGGGUGCAAGCGUUAAUCGGAAUUACUGGGCGUAAAGGGUGCGUAGGCGGUUGUUUAAGUCUGUCGUGAAAUCUCCAGGGCUCAACCCGGAAACUGCUUCGCAUACUGGCAGGCUGGAGGAACGGAGAGGUGAGUGGAAUUCCUGGUGUACCGGUGAAAUGGGUUGAUAUCAGGAGGAACACCGAUGGCGAAGGCAGCUCACUGGCCGUUAUCUGACGCUGAGGCGCGAAAGCGUGGGUAGCAAACAGG
rnacentral:rRNA from 1 species